rnacentral:rRNA from 1 species
AAAUUGAAGAGUUUGAUCAUGGCUCAGAUUGAACGCUGGCGGCAGGCCUAACACAUGCAAGUCGAACGGUAACAGGAAGCAGCUUGCUGCUUUGCUGACGAGUGGCGGACGGGUGAGUAAUGUCUGGGAAACUGCCUGAUGGAGGGGGAUAACUACUGGAAACGGUGGCUAAUACCGCAUAACGUCGCAAGACCAAAGAGGGGGACCUUCGGGCCUCUUGCCAUCAGAUGUGCCCAGAUGGGAUUAGCUAGUUGGUGAGGUAACGGCUCACCAAGGCGACGAUCCCUAGCUGGUCUGAGAGGAUGACCAGCCACACUGGAACUGAGACACGGUCCAGACUCCUACGGGAGGCAGCAGUGGGGAAUAUUGCACAAUGGGCGCAAGCCUGAUGCAGCCAUGCCGCGUGUAUGAAGAAGGCCUUAGGGUUGUAAAGUACUUUCAGCGGGGAGGAAGGUGUUGCGGUUAAUAACCGCAGCAAUUGACGUUACCCGCAGAAGAAGCACCGGCUAACU